GACGAACGCUGGCGGCGUGGAUUAGGCAUGCAAGUCGAACGGUAUCAUCCUUUCGGGGGUGAGAGAGUGGCGAACUGGUGAGUAACACGUAGGUUAUCUACCCUCAAGACGGGGACAACCCAGGGAAACUUGGGCUAAUACCGGAUGUGAGCAACUUUUAGUUGUUUGAAAGGUGGCGUAAGCUGUCGCUUGGGGAUGAGCCUGCGUCCUAUUAGUUAGUUGGUGAGGUAACGGCUCACCUAGGCAAUGAUAGGUAGGCGGCCUUAACGGGUGGUCGCCCACACUGGGAUUGAGAUACGGCCCAGACUCCUACGGGAGGCAGCAGUCGAGAAUAGUCUACAAUGGUCGGAAGACUGAUAGUGCGACGCCGCGUGAACGAUGAAUCCCUUCGGGGUUAAAGUUCUUUUAUAUGUGAGCAGUGCUUCUUAUAUUAACAGUAUGGGGAAGAGAUGUUAGCAUAUGAAUAAGCAACGGCUAACUCCGUGCCAGCAGCCGCGGUAAG
rnacentral:rRNA from 1 species